CAUCAGCGAAGUGGAGAUGGGAGGCCGGUAUACAUGGGCAACUCCUAGUCUUCUAUAAACAACCUUGCCCGGGCUUGUGCCUGGGAGGGUAACUUUCUAGGUGCAAUCCCACGGUCAUUCGUGACCGAA